AGUGAACGCUGGCGGUAGGCCUAACACAUGCAAGUCGAACGGCAGCACAGUAAGAGCUUGCUCUUACGGGUGGCGAGUGGCGGACGGGUGAGGAAUACAUCGGAAUCUACUUUUUCGUGGGGGAUAACGUAGGGAAACUUACGCUAAUACCGCAUACGACCUACGGGUGAAAGCAGGGGAUCUUCGGACCUUGCGCGAUUGAAUGAGCCGAUGUCGGAUUAGCUGGUUGGCGGGGUAAAGGCCCGCCAAGGCGACGAUCCGUAGCUGGUCUGAGAGGAUGAUCAGCCACACUGGAACUGGGACACGGUCCAGACUCCUACGGGAGGCAGCAGUGGGGAAUGUUGGACAAUGGGCGCAAGCCUGGUCCAGCCAUACCGCGUGGGUGAAGAAGGCCUUCGGGUUGUAAAGCCCUUUUGUUGGGAGAGAAAAGCAGCAGGUUAAUACCCCGCUGUUCUGACGGUACCCAAAGAAUAAGCACCGGCUAACUUCGUG
rnacentral:rRNA from 1 species